GCGCCCUGGGGGUCGGCCGCGGGCUUCUUCCCGCCGUUGAUGUCGGUGGCGAUGUAGGCGUUGCCCGUCUUGUCGUUCCACUCGCCGAGGAUGCG
rnacentral:tRNA from 1 species